CUGGCCCAACCGCGGAAACUGGCAGACCCGCCGCGGGACGGCCGAGUGCCCGGACCCGAGGGAGGGGCCCCCGACCGGACCCCGGCGUGAGCGAGUCGGGGAGGACGCGCAGACUGUUCUCAGCAAAGCGGUGUUUGGAGACAAAGCUGAAGGAAGAGGAAAGACCAGACCCUGAGGAAAGUAAAUAUUAUACUAUGGAGUUUGGGGCUUUCAUCUUCCAGGCCAGAAAUCACAAUGUGGCAGAAUGUGGGCCACACAUAGCACAAGACUGUUUGGCUUUAGCCUUGUGUGUGUGUGUGUGUGUGUGUGUGUGUGUGUGUGUGUGCGCGCGCGCGCGCGGUGCACUCCUGUGCACAUUGUAUGUUUCUCAAAUUGAAUUAGUUAACUAUUCAAAAUAUGGCAGCUUUCGUGUAUAAAUCCAAAUUUUCUUUUCUUGAGAUAGUGAAAGAUUUAACAAUGCGGGGAUCCCCACCUCAAAACAUUCAAAGGCAUCACCAUGUGCCACACUCAGUCCUUUACUCACUGUCUUUAGAUGCUUGUGUUUUUUUCAUCCCUGUUUUUUAAGGUGGAAAACCUGAAGCAUCUUAAUCUAGGAAGUGAUACUGUCUUUGCAUUUUACAAUAUUUUUUUGCAUUAUUCUAGAACUAGUGCAAAAGUAUCCACGUGGAUAAAUCUCACAAAUAUAAGAUGCAGCAUAAAUAAAUAAGUAAAUAAAUUGCUGAAGAAUAUAUACAGUUUGAUACUAUUUUAAUGAAAGUUUUAACAUGAAACAGUCUUAUAUUAUUGAAGAACACAUGCAUAAGUAAUAAAGGGAUGAAAUAAUGUGUGGGAACACUAGUUACUGAGUUUGAGAGGCAGGUUGCCCUUGCCGAGGGAGGCUAGGGCUGCCAUAACUGGGUAGCUUAGAUUUUUAUUUUCCCACAGUUCUGGAGGCUAGAAAUCCAAGAUCAAGGUGCUGGCCAAUUCAGUUUCUGGUGAGAACUCUCCCUAGCUUGUGGACAGCUACCUUCUCAUUGUGUCCUCACAUGGCCUUUCCUCCCUGCUUAUGUCCAAGGAGAGUGACAGAACUCUCUAGUAACUUUUCUUCUAAAGUCUCUAAUCCUGUCAGUUCGGAGUCUGACCCCAAUGACCUCAUUUAACUUUUAAUUACUUCCAUAAAGGCCUUAUCUCCAAAUACAGUCACAAUGAGGUUAGGGCUUCAACAUAUGAAUGGGGAAGGAGUGAGGAGGGGGAGACACAUUCAGCCCAUAACACUGUCCCAUGAAGGGACACACACAGCACACUCUUGACCCAGCAAUGAAAAUGCAUAUGUGCAAUGUUUUUGCCCGGGGAAGACUUUCAGAGACUCAGUGAGCAAUGUUUCUACCGGCGGCUAGUCAUGUAAGCACCCUUUGCUUAACACCUACCAAAACUCCAGCUACCCAGAAGAAAAGCAAGUGUUCAGCAAUAAACCACAUUAUUUGCAUAGUCUGAGUACAGUGGGCCACCCUUAUCAGUGGAAGGCAGUAGGAAUGUUUCCAAAAUCCAGCCAAGGGCGAACUUUGCAAUCAGGCCUUUCUAAAGAAAGUCACCUCAGGGGUGCCUGGGUGGCUCACUCGGUUGAGCGUCUGACUCUUGAUUUUGGCUCAGGUCAUGGCCCUAGAGUUGUAGGAUUGAGCCCUAAGUUGGGCUGUCUGCAGUGCCUCCUUGGGAUUCUCUCUUCUUCCUCUCUAUCUGCCCUUCCCCCACUCAUACUCUCUCUCCCAAAGUAAAAACAAACUUUAAAAAAAUGAAUAAAGAUAGUCACAUGAGGCUUGCUGUGUCAACUCUCCUCUGCACACUUACCAAUGACCUCCUCAGCUCUGCUGUAUCUCUCCCACCUUCUGGUUAACAACUGCUAAGAUACCCAAUUGCUAAGCACUAAAACUGGUAUAGUAACUGUCUAUAGAUUGUUUCUAGGUUUUAAUACCAUUGCCAAUCAAAGCCAAUCAUAGUAUACUUUAUGACCUGAAAGGCCCUUACAAUCCAUAACAUGUUCUCUCCCAAGGUAAUAAUUGAUGAUAUCUUUCUAAAUUAAUUAUGUAUCAUACUUCAGGAGAGGAUCUCACCCUCUUCCAUCCCUGGGUGCUGAUUAACAUAGCAAGCAAGCUCUUCAGUCUUGUUACCAUAGCAAAGAUAGUUUGGUGACCAUCUUAAUCCAACAACGGAGUUGGAAACACUUAAAGCAUAGUCAAGAAUGUUUCUAAAAAAAAUAAAAAAGAAUGUUUCUAGUGCAUAUCCUACUGCCUAUAAUAAAAUCCUGGCAAAACUAAAGCUAGAAAAGAGAACAGAACCAAAGCUUCUUUGAGCAUUUCCAAAUGCUUUAUAUAAAAUUGCCCUAACAAUGGGAUAUGAAUGUGUUUUGGUACUUGUGUGUUCAUAUUUUUUUAAGUAUAUUUAUUUAAUUUGAGAGAGAGAGAAAAAGAGUGUACACAAGCAGGCAAGGGGCAGAGAGAGAGGGGGAGAGAGAAUCUCAAGCAGGCCCCACGCUGUCAGAGCAGAGCAUGACACGAGGCUCAAACCACAAACCGAGAGAUCAUGACCUGAGCCAAAAUCAGGAGUCAGACACUUAACCAACGGAGUCACCCAACCACCCUGGUAAUUGUGUAUUUAUUAGAAUUAAGUUUUCUCUUUUCAGAAAGCCACAACUUGUACAGAAGCAUAAAGUUUCCUACCUAAGGAGUCUUAACUUUCUCUUUAGGGGCGGAAACAUUCAUUUCACUGGAAUUUUUACUAAGGAGCUUUAUAAAGCUCAGUACUUCAUUGCCCAUAUCAUCCUCAAUCCUCAGGUAGUACAGAAAAGACAAAUAGAAUUCUCAACUCUAGCUCAAUUUUUAGAAACUCUGGAACUUGGCCUGAACAGUUGCCUUUUAUCUUAAUGACAAUGAAAUCAAACUCCAUAGCCAGCCCAUUGACUCUCAAUCUAUUAACUAAUAGGCAUCUUAUCUGCCUGUCCCCAGUUAUAGACUUUUCCUUAUUACAGGCUGAAAUAGCCAAAUAUUGCAAAUAUUUGUAUAUAUAUAUACACAAAUAUUGUGUGUGUGUAUAUAUAUAUAUGUAUAUAGCCACCCAUUAUAACCAUUUUAAGGGUACAGUUCAGUGGUAUUAAAUACAUUGACAUUGUUGUAUAAACCAUCACUACCAUCCAUCUCCAGAACUUUUCUCACCUUGCAAAAUUGAAACUGUUUUCCUUAAACACUAAAUGCCCAUUUUCUGCUCCCCGCAGACCCUAGCCACCACCUUUCUACUGUCUCUAUGAGUUUGACUAUUCUAGAUAUCUCCUAUAAGUGGAAUCAAUGCACAACUUUGUCAACAGAUGUGAGUAGCUUUUUCAGAACAUCCUUCAAAACAACUCUUUUCACUAUUUAAAAUGAGAGGUGUUAUCUCUUUAAAGAACCAUGAGAAAAAGACUGCCCUGACCUCACUGAAAAGGACCUUACAGGCACUAUGAACAACUAACACAGUCGUCCCACUCUGGGGUGUUGAUCCUUGCUUUCUUACUUGUUAAUGAAGGAGAAAGAAAUCCUUCUUGAUCAGAAAGACUGUUUGUUCCUGCUACAGACCUCAACCUGAGAAUUCUUAGGAGUACUCCAGAAGCAGAAAACCAUAGGAAAGAGCUUCCACUCAAGACUAUCAGAACAAACUAACGACUAGAGGCAGGAGACAGCCCAAGCGCCAUGAACAUGGGAAGUCAGGGAACCAGCACUGCACAUUGUCACACUUCAAUCUGUAUGCACGUUUUCUUAAUUUUCCUACAUAUUUUCCUUUACCUUUUUUGGGUUAAGGUUCUGGAUUGUUGACAGCUUGUUACCUCUUAACUAUGGUACCGAUAAGCAAUGGUUCGCUUAUAGAUAGAAUCAACUGAUGAGAAUUGUUGAAUUGUCGGGAAUCUUAUUAAAUUCUUCAAAGCUUGAAA